GGGGAUUUAGCUCAGUGGCAUAAGCACCUGCCUUACAAGCAGGCGAUCCUGAGUUCAAUCCCCG
rnacentral:tRNA from 1 species